GCCUGUGGCCUCGGAUACUCCGGAGGCUGAGGCGAGAGCAGCGCUUGAGCCCGGGAGCUCUGCGCUGUAUGCGCUGUGCCCAUUGCGUGGCGACACCGGGUUCCGCAUCGGUGUGGUGACCUCCGGGGAGCAGGAACCACCAGGUUCCCCAAGGAGGGGGGAACCGACCCAGCUCGGAAACCGAGCAGGGCAAAACUCCUGUGCUGCUCGGUAGUGGGAUCGCGCCUAUGAGUAGCCACUGCCCUCCAGCCUGGGAAUACAGCGAGACACCAU
ensembl:misc_RNA Metazoa_SRP Metazoan signal recognition particle RNA